UCUCCGUUGGUGAACCAGCGGAGGGAUCAUUACCGAGUUUACAACUCCCAAACCCUAUGUGAACCAUACCAAACUGUUGCCUCGGCGGGGUCACGCCCCGGGUGCGUCGCAGCCCCGGAACCAGGCGCCCGCCGGAGGGACCAACCAAACUCUUUCUGUAGUCCCCUCGCGGACGUUAUUUCUUACAGCUCUGAGCAAAAAUUCAAAAUGAAUCAAAACUUUCAACAACGGAUCUCUUGGUUCUG
rnacentral:misc_RNA from 1 species